UUGACGGGGACCCGCACAAGCGGUGGAUGAUGUGGUUUAAUUCGAUGCAACGCGAAAAUCUUACCACCUUGACAUGUACGGAAUCCUUUAGAGAUAGAGGAGUGCUCGAAAGAGAACCGUAACACAGGUGCUGCAUGGCUGUCGUCAGCUCGUGUCGUGAGAUGUUGGGUUAAGUCCCGCAACGAGCGCAACCCUUAUCAUUAGUUGCUACGCAAGGGCACUCUAAUGAGACUGCCGGUGACAACCGGAGGAAGGUGGGGAUGACGUCAAGUCCUCAUGGCCCUUAUGGGUAGGGCUUCACACGUCAUACAAUGGUCGGUACAGAGGGUUGCCAAGCCGCGAGGUGGAGCCAAUCCCAGAAAGCCGAUCGUAGUCCGGAUUGUUCUCUGCAACUCGAGAGCAUGAAGUCGGAAUCGCUAGUAAUCGCGGAUCAGCAUGUCGCGGUGAAUACGUUCCCGGGUCUU
rnacentral:rRNA from 1 species